GUUGUAGUGGUAUAAUAGUCUGGUGCCUAACAACGCGCACGUACGGUCGUAUUACGUAAAAUGCAUAAGACGGCGUAAUCCAGACUUUGUGGAGUUCGCGAUCGCAGGCUAAAAAACGGACGGAACACCUAAGUUUUGAGCAUCAUGGGAGGAGGAUAUGUCGAUGAAACGCCGUUUGCCCACUACACUGGCUUCAAGAAGUAUUUCAAUUCAGACACAGUCUUCGGAAAAAGAAAUUGUGUUGUUGCUGUGUAUGGCCUGACGUUCCUCUCCAUCUGGUACGUCCGUCGUAGGAUGAAGGCCAAGAAAGCACUAACAGCUGCCAUCCCUGAGGCCGCGGUGCCUGCUUCAUAGUCUCUCCCUCUAGCUCCAAUCUUCUAGUCUCCAUAGCUGUCAACUUCAGCUCCCCAUCUUGCUUGAGCCAAUCAUCACACAUCACUCAGCUCUACCACCACUGGACACUCUUCAACCACAGGAGUCACAGUUUGGACAGUUGACAACAUAACCUUUCACUAUAAUGCAGGGCCUUCAAGAUUGCCAUUUCGCUGCUCUCCAUUUACCAAAAACUUGGAAGAAGCAGGACAGGACAAGUGUGUUGUGCCUGUUACUAUUCUCAGCAAAACCAAACAUGUUUUUUUGUUUUAAUUUAAAAUGGACUCAUAGCUAAAAUGUGCCUUUUCAUUAGUGGGAUGUUUGGUCCAUGUUUUCUCUCUUGCAAACACAAAUCUUGCAUUUUCAGAAAUAUUUCAGCACACGCGUAUGCAUUGUUAAAGUAUGGUAUCUACUGCUGUUACAGCCGUUGACAUGUACCCAAACCAUACGGAUGUCUUGCGCCUGCUUGAACAUACAACUUUUCUUUCUGCCAAAAUGCAAAAAAUUUCUCAUACAAAAACCGUGCAGUAUGUUCUCUACAUAUAUGGGAAAGAGACACAACAUGGACCAAGCACUUCUGGAAAGGCACAAUCAAAUUCUCAUAGAAUUGGAUAUGUAUGAUAUGCCCAGUUGAGACUUAUUAAACUGAGCCAUUUGAUAUUUUUCAGAUAAUCACACAUGUAACAUCUAGUGUUUUAAACUUCAAAAAUAUACGUAAUAUGCUGUGUCCUGUCAUAUAAAUCAAUUACAUAUUCACAACAUUCAUCAGUUCAUAUUGUGACUCUUAAACCCUGAACGUACAAAAUGAUUGCAUGAAUUUCCGUUUGAGAGAAGAUUGAAUGUGCUAACUUAUAAACAAAGAAGCCACAGAAAGUAACUUGACUACUAAAUUAAUAAAAAUUUAACAAUAAAUAUAGUAUUGUGUACUGUUGGCUGUUUUGAAUAAUAAAUUUGAGAGAGAUCUGUUGGACACAGCCGUCAGUUUAAAAUAAAUGAAAAAUAUUUUGACUCAAUUUCCUAGUCUGUGAAUAACACACCAAAUAUGGCUUAUACCUCACAAUGUUAGGUUUGCAAUUUUCAGUGGUAUAAAUUUUGGUUUUGAAUUCUGGGUGUUUGAAGUUUUUAAUGUAGGAUAAUACUCAAAAAGUGUGUUCUUAAUGAGUUAAAAAAAGAUAAAAAUAAAACAAUAUUUUGUUGUUUGACACAACUUAGAUUUGA